GUUGACCCGCGGCGAGAGCCACGAUUCGGACCGGCUCCAUCCCCGGGUUCGGAGGUCGACUGGGCGGUGAUAGGCGGCGAUCCCGACGUCGGCCGCCAAGCACAUCGCCGUGCGCUGCCGGGCCGAGGAAGUUGCCUUCAUUAGGUGCAAGAAGGACACGUUCCCGGAGAAAUGCCUCGAUAAGGGCCGCCUGGUCACGAGCUUCGUCCUAGGCCUGCUGAAAGAGUUCCACGCCAAUGAGUUUGACUUACGCAGCAAAGAGCAGGAAGUAUUUGAGGAGGCAUAAUAACCGUGGGAGAUUGCUGCCCCAUGAUCCUCAAAUAAUCAAUGAUAUACGACCAAUCUGUAAGUUCUUCUAUGGUCUUUUGCCAUAGAAGUCUACUUUGGUUACUUGGUUUCAAUACUUUUAGUUCUUUCCAUGCCUACUGUACUGGAUUUCAUUUGAGCUAAUGUAGCUUAAGUUUUUUUUAAUGGAUGUGGAAAUAAUAUCUUGUGAAAUGAAGUGUUCUCUUGUUGUU